AGAGCGAACGCUGGCGGCAGGCUUAACACAUGCAAGUCGAACGGAUCCUUCGGGAUUAGUGGCGGACGGGUGAGUAACACGUGGGAACGUGCCUUUAGGUUCGGAACAACGCAGGGAAACUUGCGCUAAUACCGGAUGUGCCCUUCGGGGGAAAGAUUUAUCGCCUUUAGAGCGGCCCGCGUCUGAUUAGCUAGUUGGUGGGGUAAUGGCCUACCAAGGCGACGAUCAGUAGCUGGUCUGAGAGGAUGGCCAGCCACAUUGGGACUGAGACACGGCCCAAACUCCUACGGGAGGCAGCAGUGGGGAAUCUUGCGCAAUGGGCGAAAGCCUGACGCAGCCAUGCCGCGUGGAUGAUGAAGGUCUUAGGAUUGUAAAAUCCUUUCAGGCGGGGACGAUAAUGACGGUACCCGCAGAAGAACGCCCCGGCUAACUUCGUGCCAGCAGCCGC
rnacentral:rRNA from 1 species